rnacentral:piRNA from 1 species
UCNCAUGGUGCAAAGCUCAUGACUUCUUG